AAAAAUCAAAGGCCCAGCCAGCCCAACCCUUUUCCCUGGCCCGUUGCCCCCCACCCAUCUUAUCCAGACCGGUCCUCUCUUCCUUCUCACGUUUCUUCCUCCUUCCCUGCUCUCCCAUGGCUUCCCCUCCCUAAAUCCCCUCUCUACAGCAGCAAACCCUUGGGGGGAACUAGCAAAACGGAUCGAGGACAACAAAAGGAGCAAGAAAGGUGCAUCUUCCAUGUAGAUCAGUCCUUUCCCCAUAUCUUCCCGCUGCCCUAGGGUUUGGGGAACGACCAAGGUGGUAACGCUCCGGAUCACGCUUAGAGCGGCUAUCUCCUUCUUUGGGAGGCAAGUAACGUAGCGGUGGUUGCUACAAGCUUUAAUCUGCUAUUUUUGCUACCUCCACCUUAAAUUUCAGAAUGAUAACUUAUCCAAUAUCAUCCAUUCAAUUACAAGUUUAUGCACAUCUUACUGUUGUUAUUACAUAUGCCUUGUUCUUUACUUUAUAACUUGGUAAUGGCUCUUGUUGGCAUAAUUAUGAUGAGGUUUAUGUUGUCAAAUGAGGAGAGACUUAUCUGGUAUAUGCGGUGUAUACUCUCUUUGUGCGAUCUGUCUUGGCAUUGCAUUUCAUUGCAUCACAAUGCAUGGCAUAUGGAGUUAAUUCGCCGCUUGAUAGCCGCGACCGUACCGGUACAGCAUCGUUUAUUGGGCAUAACGGUGCAGCUUCAUACUUUGUUGAGUAUGAAGGCAGGAGACAUGGCAUUUGCAUUGCAUUUGCAUUUAGGGUGCUAUCGGUUUUCUAUGGUAUUUGUUUGGCAGUGGUGGUGAGAAGUGAAUUUUCUCCAAGGUUUGGUGACGAAUUGGUUUUAUUUAUGUAUGGGGGUGUGGGAGUUAUUAUUAUUAUUAUUCAUUGAGGAGAUACACUUAUUGAUAAUAGUUAAACCAUGGUCUAAUGAACUUGUAGUUUAAAUAGCUUGUUAAAGCUAGUUACUUGCUGAGAUUUUAUAUCUCACCCCUAUUUUUUUGUUAUCCUCUCAGGUACUUGAUGGAUGGAUGCUUUGCUUGGGGGUUGGGAAGUAGCAGCACGUCACACACUUCUCUUUAAUCAAAAUCCUCUAGUGUGAUACUGUAAUAUUUAAGUCCUUCUCUAUGAGAGUCUAUUUGUUACUUAAUGAUGGUCAAGCUUUGUUAAACCUUGCCUUAAUCGUUUGAAUAUCAUGUUAGGAUCUUUUAUUUAUGCUAGUAUGCUUUAUCUAUUUUCAUAUCUUA